UACGAAGGGGGCUAGCGUUGUCCGGAGUUACUGGGCGUAAAGGGCACGCAGGCGGUUGUGUCAGUUUGCGGGGACAGUGGGUGGCUUAACUGCCCAAGGGUCGCAAAGACGGCACGACUGGAGAGCGAGAGAGGGACCUGGAACUCCGGGUGGAGCGGUGAAAUGCGUAGAGAUCCGGAAGAACACCACUGGCGCAGGCAAGGUCCUGGCUCGUAUCUGACGCUGAGGUGCGAAAGCUAGGGGAGCGAACGGG
rnacentral:rRNA from 1 species